rnacentral:rRNA from 1 species
UACAGAGGUCUCAAGCGUUGUUCGGAUUCAUUGGGCGUAAAGGGUGCGUAGGUGGCGAGGCAAGUCAGAUGUGAAAUCCCGGGGCUCAACCCCGGAACUGCAUUUGAAACUGCCUUGCUCGAGUACUGGAGAGGAGACUGGAAUUUACGGUGUAGCGGUGAAAUGCGUAGAUAUCGGAAGGAACACCAGUGGCGAAGGCGGCUACCUGGACUGACACUGACACUGAGGCGCGAGAGCGUGGGGAGCAAACAGG